rnacentral:lncRNA from 1 species
GUGUCCUUCCCGCGCUCCCUGGCCCAGGCAGCUGCUCUGCCAGUGACACCUCCACCGUGUUCCUGCCAGGCUCCGCAAUGCCCCUGCCCACACAUGUACAGGCACCAAGCUGCCCUCUGCAUCUGCUCAGCUCAGGAUUGUGCACACAUGCAUGACUUUGGUCCUCCUGGCCAAAAGAUGGCUGCUGCAGCUCCAGGGUCUGCUCCUAUAUUUCAGCUAGGAAGGAAGAAGAGUGAAGGCUCAAUUGUAGAGGAAGGCAAGGAAGAAGGUGAUGAAACGGUGUGUGAGCCAGCCUCAGAGUAUGUCUGCCGCAGGAUAUGUGUGAAUGGAGCUGUAGGAGACAUUCCUAGAACUGGAUUCUUCUCACUGCAGCUGUUUGACCUGGCACUCAAGGCCUAAGAUCUGGAGUCUUGUCUCGUUCUUUCCUACGUGUCCCUCUGGCUCAGCACACCCAGUUUCCCAACUUCCCAGCACUGGGAUAUCACGUGCCCUGUUGCCUCCCGCCUCGGACCCCCCUCUCCUGGAAGGCGGGUGCCAUUUCUAUCCAGAUCCAUCCUCCUCUGAGGUUCAGUUUAUCUCCAUCUUCCCUGAAGCAUGGGCAGAAUGUCUCCUUUUUCCCCAAACGGAGAGUCUGUAUGUUUUUCUCUCAGUCUCCCUCCCAUGCCCAUCUUUCCUAGUAUUAUUCCCAGGGAUUUUUACCCCCAGGAAUUAAGGGGAACAAAGACCAACAGAGAAGAGACGGUCAGGCCCCAGGCUAGACUCAGAGACAAUGCCUGCCGCUUGGAGACAGCUGGGAUAUAUUCUCAAUCAAGGCCUCAUGGAUUUGUGCCUGAAUUCUGGAGGAUGGAGACCCCAAGGAGAAAGCAGGGAAGCAAUUUCACUGAGUCUCUGAAGUGUGUUGGGAGAUGAGGUGGCCCCUGGGGGUGGAGAGUGACCUGCUCCAUGUGGAUUCACAGUUGGGGGCCCUGGAAGUGGAGUGAAGUGGGAAGGGAAAUCCCUGUGAGAGCCUCAGCACCAGUAGUUCCCAGCACCCGUGGAGUGACACGAAGGAGCCUAUGAGCAGCAGUGACCUUGGCUCAGACAUCGGAGCCAUUGGUGGCAGCUGGAGCUGGUGCAAGAGAGACUCAGAUUACAUAUGCAGAUGUCGUCUUCAGGUCUGGAUGGUGAGCCCUUUGAAGUCAGACUCUCGCUGUCCUGCCAGCCUCCUCCUCCUGGAGAAUUUUUCUUCCCUCCUGUCUUCAGCCAUGGUGUGUUCCUACCGCAGAUGUUUAGUGAGCGCACAGUCGUUGAGAGGGAAGGGGUCAGACUAGGAUCAAAUCCUGGCUCUACCAUUUACCAGGUAUAGUGGUCAGUGCUAAGUGGACAUAAUCAGCACAAGCCCUGCCUUCGUGGAACUUACAGUCUGGAGCUACAACCGUGACCUUGGUUCACCAGCUCAGCUGAUUGUGAUAACACAAGAUUCCUG